rnacentral:rRNA from 1 species
UACGUAGGGUGCGAGCGUUAAUCGGAAUUACUGGGCGUAAAGCGUGCGCAGGCGGUUUUGUAAGACAGAUGUGAAAUCCCCGGGCUCAACCUGGGAACUGCGUUUGUGACUGCAAGACUCGAGUGCGGCAGAGGGGGGUGGAAUUCCUGGUGUAGCGGUGGAAUGCGCAGAUAUCAGGAGGAACACCAAUAGCGAAGGCAGCUCGCUGGGACGGUAUUGACGCUAAGGCGCGAAAGCGUGGGGAGCAAACAGG